UCCUAACAGAUACAAACUAGAAAUACCUGGGAGAGAGAGCUUCUAUGAAUCACCUGCCUGUUCUUCCAGUUUCCGAUGAGGAUUGAGGAGAAAGACUCUUCAGGAAUCCUCCAGGCCUUUGGUGCCAGAUGGAUAUUGCUGAGACAUCAGCCUCAUGGACUGAGCAAGUACUGGGCUUCACCCUCUUCCCUGAGACAGCCAUUGUUGGACUAUUCUGACCACAACCUGUUCUGCUGCCCUAUGUUGGCCUCCCUGAGCACCAUGUGUGCAUAUGAUACACAUACAAAACAAUAAUGAAGAGGAAACAACUUUAGGGACAUGGAGGGAAUGGAGGCAUGUUGCUUAUCUCCAACAAGUAGUCUCACUUUUAACAUGCUGAAACACUCCAGUCAUAGCC